GGUUUGGCUUCUCUCUUUGGCAUUUUUACUAAGGUUAGUUCGACUUUUCCUUUUUUUUUUUUUAGUUUGUAGGUUGUGGACUGAUAAAGCAGUGUCUUUACCAGGGAUUACUAAGUAUGUUAGAUUGGUACCACCAAUCCAUUCUUGAAUGAUUUGUGAUUGUCUACCUGAACAUCUUCUUCCAAUAAUGGACACACUAACAACAUGAACCCUCAGUAUUUUGCAAUGCAUUCCGGGCAUACAAGAACUGGAAUUUUUGUUCUUGCUGAUUCUUUCUAUGUUUUUGUAUCGUUAUUCUGUUGUUAGAAAAAGUUAUUUAAAGUUUCAUGUACAACAAUUUCCAUCUUGCUGGGUAGCUCCUUAUAUUAUUAGGAGUAGUUGGAUGAAUGUUUAGUAGUCCGGCACAUUUCAAUCUCUGCCGCAGUUCGUCCAGGCAAUUUUCUUCCAAUCAAAUGCCAUCUGAGCUUUAAUAAAAAAAAGGUCAUUAAACUCUCGAAAAACAAUAUUAGUGUGUCGGCUUUAUUAAAUGAUAACUGUGUUCUUGUAUGGUCUUUAAUCUUAGCAUUACAUUUAUUUAGAUUUAGAUUUAUUUAUUAUUUAUUUGUGAUCUAUUUGGUUUCCACUAGGGUUGUUAUUGGUUGCUUUACGUUUAUUUGGAUUUGGAUGUAUUUGUAAAUUCAAAGGGAUGACUGAUAAAAUAGGUUCCCUAAAAUUGGUGUUUUGUUUUCCCCCUUUGUGGCAGUUCUCUAAUAUUUAUGGUUGUGGGUUACAGUGGAAAUGUCUUGGUUUGAUUAUUGUGAUGGAGUUGGGAGACCAACAACGGCAGGUUCGUAUGUCUGUAACAUAUGGGAUAUGGUGGUUGAUGUAUAUUUAUUGUACAAGAAAUAUAUUGCGUGUUCUUUAAUGAAACCUCUGUGUAUGUGAUAUAAUAAAGAUUGUUACUGCUUUACCGUUCUUGCUCUAUAAUGUUGGCCCUGCUUGGUUACCCCGCAAAAAUUUGCAUAAAAUUUAGCCUAAUUUAAUAUGCUUGAAACUCUUGAUAAUUAGUUUUAUGAACAAAAUUUAUGCAAAAGUUUUGUGCAAAAAUUUUACACCUUUCUUUAAUAAACUUAGUAGGGGACCAUU
rnacentral:lncRNA from 1 species